GACGAACGCUGGCGGCGUGCUUAACACAUGCAAGUCGAACGGAAAGGCCCUGCUUUUGUGGGGUUCUCGGGGGGCGAACGGGGGAGUAACACGUGAGUAACCUUCCCUUGACUUUGGGAUAACUUUAGGAAAAUGGGGCUAAAACCGGAUAGGAGCCCCUGCUGCCUUGUGGGGGUUGGAAAGUUUCGGCGGGUGGGGAUGGACUCGCGGCUUAUCAGCUUGUUGGUGGGGUAGUGGCUUACCAAGGCUUUGACGGGUAGCCGGCCUGAGAGGGUGACCGGCCACAUUGGGACUGAGAUACGGCCCAGACUCCUACGGGAGGCAGCAGUGGGGAAUAUUGCACAAUGGGCGGAAGCCUGAUGCAGCAACGCCGCGUGCGGGAUGACGGCCUUCGGGUUGUAAACCGCUUUCGCCUGUGACGAAGCGUGAGUGACGGUAAUGGGUAAAGAAGCACCGGCUAACUACGUG
rnacentral:rRNA from 1 species